rnacentral:sRNA from 1 species
CUCUUUACAUCCAAUAACUCACAUCCUCAUUCCUCCCAAGGUGCCUUCUGAAACGGCGAAUAGUUGAUUGACAAACAAGAAAUGGGUAGCCUGUAUCCACCACUGCCCAACACAGAGGCACAGCACAUCGGAGCACAGCACAGAACCUAGGUUGAAAGAGUCAAGCACCCAGCCAGGAAAGAAAUCAAUGUGCUAACAAAUAUACCCUUGAUAUAGAAACAAACAAUUCACUCUCUUAUCUUUUGGGCCUCUCACCAGCCUGGAACUGAAGCCCCGUUCUUGAUUUAAUAUACUGUGGUGACAAUAUAGAUGCAAUAAUGCACAAAUUGGAGUGGAGAUUUGCAGUCCAUAUCCACACUGUACUUGAUACACAUAAUAAAUAAAUAUAUGCGUGUUUAUGGAUCUAGGAAGCUCUUGUGCAAGCCAGUAAGUAUAUAGUAAUGCUACAUGCAUAAAAGCUCAGAACAUGAAUCCAUUGAUAUCAGCACAAGAAUAAACCACAGCCAGUCACAGAGCACUACUAUCUUCUCUCAAAUAGAUUAUUUAAACCAAUAACAGGAGAAACUCGUUCAGCUCCAUCUGAAUUUCCCCUUCUCUAGGCCCUUUGCAUUUUACCUAUUUACGCCCAUUGCCCCAUUUCUCCUUUAAAUAACAGACGCACUCGUACUUUGUCGUAGAUAUAUUAGAAACGGACAAUGAAUCAGACAGAAUUAAAAACCAAGCA